rnacentral:RNase_P_RNA from 1 species
GCGGAGGGCCGGGCGAUCGCGCUGCGCAGGCGGUGAGGAACGUCCGGACUUCACGGAGCGACGGCGCCGGGUAACGCCCGGCCGGGGUAACCCGAGGGAAAGCGCCACAGAGAACAGACCGCCGGGAUGCGUCCCGGCAAGGGUGAAACGGUGGGGCAAGAGCCCACCGCUGCGCUGGCAACAGGGCAGGCACGGCAAGCCCCGCCGGAAGCAAGGCCAAAUAGGGAUCGCGCGCCCGCAGGGGCAGGGGAGCUUCGCCCCGCGAUCCGGGUAGGCCGCUCGAGCCGGCCGGCAACGGUCGGCCCAGAUGAAUGAUCGCCCGAAGGGUGCGCGAGCGCCCGGGACAGAAUCCGGCGUACAGGCCCUCCGCCCUU